rnacentral:misc_RNA from 1 species
GAUGAAGAACGCAGCGAAAUGCGAUAAGUAAUGUGAAUUGCAGAAUUCAGUGAAUCAUCGAAUCUUUGAACGCACCUUGCGCCCUUUGGCCAUUCCGAAGGGCAUGCCUGUUUGAGUAUCAUGAACACCUCAACUCUUCAUGGUUUUCCAUGAUGAGCUUGGACUUUGGGGGUCUUGCUGGCCUGUGGGUCGGCUCCUCUCAAAUGAAUCAGCUUGCCGGUUUUUGGUGGGCAUCACAGGUGUGAUAACUAUCUACGCUUGUGGUUUUCCACCAGGGUAACCUUCAGCAGUGGAGGUUCACUGGAGCUUACAAAUGUCUCUCCUAUGUGAGGACAGCCCUUUGAAUGUUUGAUCUCAAAUCAGGUAGGACUACCCGCUGAACUUAAGCAUAUCAAUAAGCGGAGGA